UACGUAGGCAGCGAGCGUUGUUCGGAAUUACUGGGCGUAAAGAGUGUGUAGGCGGUGCUCUAAGUUCGGUGUGAAAUCUCCUGGCUCAACUGGGAGGGUGCGCCGGAAACUGGAGUGCUUGAGCGUGGGAGAGGAAAGCGGAAUUCCUGGUGUAGCGGUGAAAUUCGUAGAUAUCGAGAGGAACACCGGCGGCGAAGGCGGCCAACUGGACGAACACUGACGCUGAGACACGAAAGCGUGGGGAGCAAACAGG
rnacentral:rRNA from 1 species